CAAAUAUAGUACAUACUCUAUACAAAAUAGAGGCUUCUACUCUUGUGUUGCUCCAUCUUCUUCUUUAACCUCACCUUUUUUAAACAUAAAAACAACAAAAAAUUCACCUGAAGAGAAAAAAUAAAGUUAACUUUUGCUAGAAAAAAUUUCACCGAUGCAACGUGGAACUGCCGGUGCCGGGGGUGGUGGACUUUCCCGUUUCCGGUCAGCUCCGGCGACAUGGUUAGAAGCACUACUUGAAUCCGACACUGAGAACGAACUUAUUCUUAGCCCUUCUUCUCCCAUUUUACACACUCCCAAUAAACCACCACCUCACCCAUCAACUCCGAAGCUUAAACUGGAAACCGGCGGAGCUACUAGGUUCACUGGCGAUCCGGGUCUGUUUGAAUCCGGUGGUAGUAGCAAUUUUCUCAGGCAGAAUAGUUCUCCGGCGGAGUUUCUUUCACAUAUCAGCUCUGAUGGUUACUUCUCAAACUAUGGAAUUCCGUCCAGUUUGGACUAUCUUUCUCCAUCCGUUGAUGUUUCGCAGUCCUUUAAGCGAACCCGAGACGAUGAUUCCGAAAGUUCCCCCAGAAAAUUAGCAUCCCAGUUGAAAGGAGAGUCAAGUGGGCAGUUACAUGGUUCUGGUGGGUCACUGGAUGCUGAAAUGGAGAAUCUCAUGGAUGAUUUGGUGCCUUGUAAGGUUCGAGCAAAGCGUGGCUGUGCUACCCAUCCUCGCAGCAUAGCGGAGCGGGUUCGUCGAACGCGUAUAAGUGACAGAAUUAGGAAGCUUCAGGAACUGGUGCCAAAUAUGGACAAGGAAAAAUGAUGAACAAGACACCCACCUUUAAUAUCAAAUUGAUAAUCAACUUCUUUAUGACAUCAAUGGUCUUAAUGGCAAACCAACACAGCCGACAUGUUGGAAGAAGCAGUCGAAUACGUCAAGUUUCUGCAGAGGCAGAUUCAGGAACUUACGGAGCAUCAGAAGAAAUGCACGUGCUCAAUGAAAGAUCAAUAAUGAGAAGAAGAGAGCUCCACUAGAGUAUAUAGGCAAUAGUUUGGUUAGUUGCAUGCAGUUUAGAAAUGGUAAUUCACUCCUAUAUAUCCUAUUCUUCUUCAUGUGUAGAUAUUAAUGGAAAUUUGCAAGAGCUUUGCUACUUUAGAAUCCAGAAUCAGCUUUGGCUUUUAAUUAUUAAAUUUAGGUUGUACACUUUUCUGGUGCAGUUGUAUCAUGUUGUAUAUGUAGUGUCAAUUUGCUUAAUAGUCAAAUUUCUGCAGCAGAAACACUUCACUUUCUGAAGAUGUAAUCAUGAUUUGCAGAUCCGUCAUGUUGAAAUCAAUAUAUAUCGUUGCAUCAGUGUGAAGUUUAA